GUGGUGUCGUAUGCUAGUUACUGUAUUUUCCUGUUCACUUUCCGCAGGUCCAGCGGGGGUCCCAGGACUAGCCAACCACAGGGGUUACUCUUACUGUUAACCCACAAGAAGACAUGGUGACACUUUAAAAAAUCGUGCUUGACUUGAGCUCCCCUUAAGUGGGUAUAGGAAACAUUAUGGAGUUGUUGUCACACGUGACAGUCAUGUUACUAUCCCAGGAUAUGGCUUCCCCAAAAUAGCGGUGUGUCAGACCUGCACAAGACUGGAAUGGACUACAAGAGCAUCAACAAGAAGAUUGGUGAGGAAGAGAGCGCUAUUGGUGCAAUCAUUGAUAAGUGGAAGAACUACAAUCGCCCUCGCUCUGGAGCGCCAUGCAAGAUUUCAGCCGGUGGGAUCAGUUGGAGUGUCAAAGGCUGAUCUCCGGCGUUGCUGAAGCACACAUCUCUAACAAGCUCACUAAGCUGUGGCCAAAUGCAUCACUGUCAUGGUGUCAGGUGAUGCUGUCUUUAUCCGUGACCCCCAAGACAGCUGCAGCAUGUGUCAAAGGGAUGACGGUUAGAUGAGAAAGACAAGGUGAUGAUAUGAGUUACGACAAACUGAAGGUUGACUGCCAUCUCCAGUCACGGCAGAAGUCAUACCUUUUGUACAUGGGGCGUGCGGAUCGAUCCAAUCCUUUUUAAAAGGCUGUAAGUGUACAGUAGAUCCCUGCUUUUCACCGGGGAUAUGCUCCAAGACCACCCGUGAACGACAAAAAAAAUGUAAGUAAUUGAGAUACCCAUAAAAUUGUCUAUAUUUGACACACGGCACACACCUUAACUGUGAGACAUAAUCCCUCCAACAUGUCCUGGUCUGCACCGGGGCCUCCUCCUGGCUGAGAGGCGCACAGGAGGCAUCCGGACGAGAUGCCAGAGCCUCCUCUCCAUAUGAAGGAGCAGCAACUCGACUCAAGAGCUCCUCCAGGAUAACCACACUCCUCACCCUGUUUCUUAGGCACAGCCUUGCCACAUCCAAUAUGGCGGCGACGUUGACGUAAGGCUCAAGCGCUCGAUGCGGUGUCUGCACAUAUGGUUUUGACAGCAGCACUUCCUGUUUCCCAGCGUGCUUUGAUGUACUGUUGUUGUAAGUGGCUGCUAAGUUACACUUUUAGGGCUCACAUAGCUGUUGAUUAUUCAGCAUUGUUCGUUGGUAGUGUCUUGUCUGUUAUCUACCUAUUAUGUCGCUGUUUUUUCAGCUAUUUCUUUAAAGGCACCGUGAGUAAGAAUUGUAUGUGGAAUGGUACCCCCCCCCCGACGUUGACUCUUAAAGCUCUGUGUCGCUUUCAACGUAGGGGAAAAAACGAAUAUCACAUUUUUAUACCAAUAUUGGGUCGAUAAUUAUCGGUGGCUGAUGUUACCGGACAACCCUAGUAAAUGUCUGUGUAAACGUGCAACUUUAAGUGUUCAUGUAUUGGUGUGUCUGUGUGUAAAACUUGUAAGUGUAAAUGCGUAUUUGUAUGUAUACCUGUGCACGUGUCUUUGUGUAAACUUGUAAAUGUCUGAGUAAGUAUAAGUGUGUGUGUGUAGACAGGCACGUGCACAGAUAGACCCUAUAGUGGUGCUCCAGCACCUGCCCUUUUCCCCCGCGUAAGAAAAAUGUCCUUUCUGCUGUAGACCAUGUUUUCCCAUUAAUUUAAGAAUAAAAAUUACUCCCAAAUAUGUUUUGAUUUCUGACUGGGCAUUUAUUUGAUGUAUUGUGGGACUUCUCACAAGCCCCGCCCCUCCUCAUGCAGUGCUGACUGGCUGUUGCCUAUAGCCUCCUCUGACCCCCAUCAGACAGGUUUAUAAUGGUCUUUGUGCAAUUCCCUAACGUUGUUUGGUGCUAAAUUGACCACAUUAGCGCAGAUGAGAACAUCACGUCGCUAUUGGCCGACGUUUCCUAAAACAAACAAACAAAAACUCACAAAAUUAUGGUCACGUGAUUAUGGUUCCUAAAAAAUAAAAAUAAACAAAACAACGCAAAGCAUUAUCCAGCUGUUUACUGAGGUUUGUCAUGUUUAAGGAAGGGAGAGGCGGAGCAAGCAGAUAAUUUAACGACUGGUCUGCAAAUUCCCUAGUUGGGUUUCAUUUACAAUCAUAGUUAUUGAGAUGAAAAGUAGACCUUAAGGUGAGCUAUACAUGACAGUAUGGUGAGGUGUGUUGUGGUAUAUUAUUAGUCUGAUGCUCCUGAUGCUUUAGCUGCCAGAAAGCUGCAUAAAAAUAUAUGUGUAUUAUUUUAUUUCUAAAUAUAUUUUUCUAAUAAUAAAAUAAUAAUUUCAUAAAUUAUUUUUGCGAUAGGUGCCCAUUUUUUCUGGCUU